UUAAUACUCAUGGGGAGCUGGAUUAAUCUGGCUGAGAGGGAUAUUUUAUCCGACCCUUAAAACUGAUCUGGGUAAUGCCAGCGUAGGAGAAAAUUAACGGUAAUUA
rnacentral:ncRNA from 2 species